rnacentral:rRNA from 1 species
UAUCUCUGUAGAGUCUGCAUAUCAAUAAGCGGAGGAAAAGAAACUAACAUAGGAUUCCCUUAGUAACGGCGAGUGAAGCGGGAAGAGCUCAAAUUUGAAAUCUUCAAGGUUUUACCUUGACGAAUUGUAGUUUAAAGAAGUGUUUUCUGUUGGUGUUUUGGUAAAAGUUCUUUGGAAUAGGACAUCAUAGAGGGUGAGAAUCCCGUAUUUGACCAUUACUUUCCAGCUUUGUGAUACACUUUCAAAGAGUCGGAUUGUUUGGGAAUGCAGUCCAAAAUGGGUGGUAAAUUUCAUCUAAAGCUAAAUACUGGCGAGAGACCGAUAGCGAACAAGUACCGGUGAGGGAAAGAUGAAAAGAACUUUGAAAAGAUGAGUUAAACAGUACGUGAAAUUGUCAAAAGGGAAGCGUUUGACACCAGUGUUGUUUUCUCGAAAAUCAAUUAAAAAAAGUUGGAUUUUGUAUUGUUAUGACCUUAUCAGCUUACUGUACUCUUUUCUUGUCUUUUUUUAAUGCACUUUUCGUUUAACAAGUCAACAUCAAUUUCUUUUGUUGUAAAAGAGUCAUUGGAAGGUGGCUUUCACUUUCGUAGAAAGUGUUUAUAGCCUUUGGCUUCUGCAAUCGGAGAGAUUGAGGUCUGCAGCGUAGAUCCUUCGGGGCUAGAUACGUAGAUGCUAAGUUAUAGUUUUUUAUAGACAACUUGUUGACUAUAAUUAAUCAUGUAGCUUACUCGUUUGCGCUAUUUUACCUACGCUUAGGAUGUUGAAGAUGUAGCACAUCAU